GGGAGGGGGGGCAAGCGUUAUUCGGAUUUACUGGGCGUAAAGCGCACGUAGGUGGCAUGGGUAAGUCAAAGGGUGAAAGCCCUCGGCUCAACCGAGGAAUUGCCUUUGAAACUGCCCUUGCUUGAGUCCGGGAGGGGGAGCGGAAUUCCCAGUGUAGCGGUGAAAUGCGUAGAUACUGGGAGGAACACCGGUGGCGAAGGCGGCUCCCUGGACCGGUACUGACACUGAGGUGCGAAAGCGUGGGUAGCAAACAGGAUUAGAUACCCUGGUAGUCCACGCCGUAAACGAUGGGCACUAGGUGCAGCGGGUGUCGACCCCUGCUGUGCCGUAGUUAACGCAUUAAGUGCCCCGCCUGGGGAGUACGGUCGCAAAGGCUG
rnacentral:rRNA from 1 species